rnacentral:lncRNA from 10 species
AAACUGGGAGGCUUAAAACGACAGAACUUUUUUCUCCCAUAAUCUGGAACCUAGAGGUUCCAAAUCAAGGUGUUGGCAGGGCCAUACUCUCCCUGAAGGCUCUAGAGGUGAAUUUGGUCCUUGGCUUUCUCUUGGCUUCCAGUGUCGCUGCCAAUCCUUGGUGUUCCUUGACUUGUGGACCCAUCACUCCAAUCUGCCUCCGUUGUCACAUGACAUUCUACAUUCUCCUCGUGUGUCUGGCUUUGUGUCUUCUUCUUUUCUUGUAAGGACACCCAUCACAGUGGGUUAAGGGCCCACCAUAUUCCAGUAUCAUCUCAAGCUUGUCUGUGUAUUUGAUGGAACACUGACCUUUUCCAGACUUUAUGAACUGACUUCUAUGAGGAAAGAUCUUCACAUGCUGGGGAUGAAGUGGCAACCAAGAAGAUUUCUCUUGAUGCUGAGCUAUGCAGGCCUGAGAUAUGAGGUUACACAGAGUCUCACUCUGUGCCAGGCUGGAGUGCGGUGGUGCGAUCUCGGCUUACUGCAACCUCCACCUCCCGCGUUCAAGUGAUUCUCCUGCCUCAGCCUCUCAAGCAGCUGGGACUACAGGCGCCCACUACCACGCCCAGCUAAUUUUUGUAUUUUUAGUAGAAACGGGGUUUCACCAUGUUGGCCAGGAUGGUCUCGAUCUCUUGACCUCGUGAUCCACCUGCCGCGGCCUCCCAAAGUGCUGAGAUUACAGGCGUGAGCCACUGCGCCUGGCCAAGAAGAUAAUAGUAUUUCUUACUAUUAUUUAUUACUAUGUAAUGGCAUUGGUAGGAGAUCCAGACUGGAUGGCACCUCCAAUUAUCAGGAACCGGAGCCCCCUUCUUUUGGUUCUACCAUUCUCAACUUGUUGCUAUCAUUUCAUGGUCCUAGAUGGCUGCCCAGCAACUUCCACAUCAUAUGCAUUCCAGCAAGAAGAAAUGAAAAAUGCAGGGAGAGGGGUUAUUUAUCCUAACGUUAAGUCAGGACCAGGAAGUGGCCCUUGGCACUUCCGUUUAUGUCUGAUUGGCCAGCACUUAAUUGCCUGCUGCGCCUGGUUCUGUGGGAUACUGGAACGUUAGGCUUUAGCUGGGAGGCUAUGCAAGAGUUAAAAUUCCAUUUUCCGGGAUACGAAGAGAAUGCUUUUUGGAGGUACAAUGAGCAAUUGAACCUCAUGAACUAAUAAUGCAUCACAUUUUCUUUUUAAAGAUAAUAACUCAAGGUACACAUUAAAAUUUAUUUGUAAAAGGUGUUAAAGUAAAAAUCCCCCUUAACAUUCCACUCCAUAUCCAUUUUCCUCCACAGACUUAAUCACUGUUAACAUUUUGAUGCUUUCUUCUUUGUAUUUUCAUGUAAUAACAUAUCAUAUUUACUACGCACCUAUUCAACUGCCUUUUUUAACCAAAUAAAAAUGUUAUUACAUAGUCUGGUUUUUCAUUUAACUAUAUGUCUUAGAGAUUGUCCUAUUUUGUUUUGUAUGGUUUUAUCUAAAUCUACUAAGCUGAUGCAUAGAAUUUGACAGUGUAGUCAUACCAUAUAUGAUUUAACUGGUCCCCAUUAAUAGACAUUUAGGCUGUUUCUAAUUUGUUUGCAAUUCAAAAAUUUAUUUCACAAAGAUACUGAAUUUUAUGACCAGAGCCUGUGUUAUAGUAAACUGUGGGUAUAUUUCUAUGGAAUAGAUCUAUUGAGAGCAGUUUAUGCAUCAAAGUAUAUAUUCAUUUAAACAUUCUUGCAUAUUUACUUUUUCAUGAGAAC